rnacentral:rRNA from 1 species
UACGUAGGGUGCAAGCGUUAAUCGGAAUUACUGGGCGUAAAGCGUGCGCAGGCGGUUAUGUAAGACAGAUGUGAAAUGCCCGGGCUCAACCUGGGAACUGCAUUUGUGACUGCAUGGCUAGAGUUUGGCAGAGGGGGGUAGAAUUCCACGUGUAGCAGUGAAAUGCGUAGAUAUGUGGAGGAAUACCGAUGGCGAAGGCAAUCCCCUGGACCUGUACUGACGCUCAUGCACGAAAGCGUGGGGAGCAAACAGG